rnacentral:ncRNA from 1 species
CUGAAAGCAUAUAAGUAGUAAGCCCACCCCAAGAUGAGUACUCUCUCCUCCGACUUCCCUAGAGCCUCCAGUAUCACAACCGAGACAGCGAUGGGUUCUCCACCCAUACGGGGAUGGAGCGACAGAAGUAUGGAAAUAGGAUAAGGUAGCCGCGAGACGAGCCGUUUAAAUAGGUGUCAAGUGGAAGUGCAGUGAUGUAUGCAGCUGAAGCAUCCUAACGAAUGAACGAUUUGAACCU